GCACACACAGGGGGCCACGCCGUUGAGACUGCACCAGGCAGACCACAGGGCUGGGCCGGGCCAAAGCAGCACCCAGAGUUAGGGGGGUUUCCUGGAAAGAGCCUGAGCUAUGAAGAAAGCGAGGGGGCAAGUGAGCGCUUUGGCUGGCUUUCUUCCUGAUAUGAUCACAGUCUUCUUUGCAGCAUCGCAAAGGACCUAGGAAACGCUACCACGUAUGAGGGCACCUUGCAGAGAGAGGAGACACGAUGGCCGAGGAAGGAAAAGAGCUGCCCAACAGGUGCCUUCAUCUUUCUUCCUUUUUGGAGACUUUGGAGGAGUGCCAUGCUGUGGAACUGUCAAGAAGAGGGGAGAGGAAAAAGCUUUUCAUAAUCACACCUCCUCAGGCACAGCCAGAAGGCCACGGGUGAAGUGGCAGGUGCCCAGCGUGUGGGGAAGUCUGUCCGCCAAGGAGCUGCAUCUCACACUCACCGGAUGAAGGUUUUGAAGGCAGCCGACUGGGGGUUGAUACAGAGGGGAACUCGUUUCCCCCGCUGCUGGUCCAGGAUAAACCGAUGCACCAAUUCUGAAAUUGAAGUAGAAACCUUUUCAGUCUCACCUUUCUCCUCCUCCUCCUCCAUUUGUCCUACCUUUCAUACCCUACUCACCUUCACCCCACACUCUUUUCUUUCCCUAUCGUCAAACAGAUCCUUUUAGCUUUCUAAAAGCGUUAUUUAACUUCUUAAUGGACCGGUAGGGCCAAUCUUUGCCCUAAAUGUAGGAGAGUGAGAUUUUACUCCUCCCCAUCCUUUUCAGACAUCUCAAAAAAUUCCGUCAGGCCAAAAUGCAGGUGAACAGACUGCUCACAGGGAGCAACCAGAGCAAGCACACCUGGCCAGGUGUGAAAUGGCUUUGCAGCUGCUGCCAGUCUCUUCCCAGGCUCUGGUGCUGACUUUCCAGCUCCACAAGCCUUGGGGACCAGACGCACCCAAGGGCAUCUUUGCCCACAUGCUGCUGCCAUAGCUCACCUGCUGCAGCAUCAGCCCAACCGGCAAGUUGCAGGCUGACUCUCCAGGUAGGAGCACUCAGGAAGAACCGUGCCUGGAACCUGGGAGCCACUGCUGCCGUUGGUGUUGCAAAUCUGGGCCAGCUGGACCAGGCUCUGACUUGGCUUUAAGGCAGCCUCCUAGGCUCCUACACCAGGCAUCUCUCCCUGGAUGCCUUCUAAGUGAGGUGAGGAGACUUCUUCUGCCUCAUCCCUGGGACAUUCCCUUCCCCAGAAAAGUUUGCUUGGUGCCUGUUUUAUAUCCUUCCAAAGGCCUUUUCUGCAUCUUGGCAGACCUUUUAAACAGAGGCUGAAUUCAGCUUUACUCUGCCCCUGUGAUGUUGGGCAUUUUUAUUUUUAAUCCUGUUACUUGUUCUUGUAGUUUUAAUUCUAUGAAAUGGUUAUGUUAAAGUAAAGUUAAAAAAUAAAACCA